CGCCCUGUAUAGAGGCGCGCCAUUUUUCUUCCUCCUGUUGCCGCCCGAACCCACCUACGCCCAGAGUGCCUCCCCGAUCCCAACUCCACCCAGCGCACCGCCGCCCGGAUCCCACCGCCACCCUGCGCACCGCCGGCCCUACCCCCCUCCUCCCAGAGCGCCUCCGCCUUCCCCGACCUCGGCCGCCUCCCUCCACCACGCGCCGUCGUCCUCCUUCCCCAACGCUGGCCGCCACCCUCCACCACGCGCCGCCCUCCUCCUUCCCCGGUGUUGGCCGCCUCCCUCCACUACGCGCCGCUCCUCCUUCCCUGGCGCCGGCCGCCUCCCUCCACCAUGCACCGCCCUCCUCCUUCCCCUGCGCCGGCCACCUACCUCCAUCAUGCAUAUCCACGCCAUCCCCGUACUCCUCCUUCAUCCUGCUGGGAGAUCUCGUGUGCCACCCUCUGGCAGCCGGUGAUGCUUCCCCACCACCACUCUGCCUCCUUCCCGAUGGGGCAACGAUGCCGCGCGUACAGUAAGUUCAUCGCCGCCACCUCAAGCCGUUCAAUAUCGAUGUCUUGGACGCAUCAUGCUCCAACGCCAUGGCUUGGGCUUCAGCAGCAAACAAUGGAGCCUACAGGGAGAGCCGCGGGGUUGAGGACGUCCUGUUCGAUAGUCCAACUGCUUGCUCGGCCGCCGGUCACUCAAGGAGCUUGUCAUUGCCUACCGUGCAACCAUCAAGCGUGUGCUAAUUGUGACUGAGGUUGCACUGCCCAACAAUACAGGCAGCAGUUUCACACUACAGAUCCACCCAAUACUGUAAAAAUGCAUGAGUCUAAUACCCUAUGGCCUAGCUAACCGAAUUAGCAUGCAAGCUUCUCCUUUCACCAUGAAAUAAAUGAUAGAUUCAACAGUUGCUAGGUAAAUCACAAAUCUAUUUACUACAUGUAUUACUACCCUACAUUCAUGUCGUCAGAAAAGUCCAUGUAUUACUACCAUGGGAGUUCAAAGAAAGGUCAUCUAUAAAAUAGUAUAACUUGUGAGCUUCUUGCAGACUAAUGACGAGUUACUAGAUAAACUUAGGCACCACACCACAGUCCAUUCACUGCCGCAUCUGAGGCCGUCCAAUGAUGCAACAACGAGGUCUGGCCUCCCCCCUUCCUAUUUUCAUGAAGCAUAUUCUGCAAAAAUAUCAGACGCUCUCAACUGAAUAAAAAGUGUGUCGCGCAAGUUCAGGUAUAACUUCUGCAGGAGUUCAAAAACCUCAACAAACAAAGCUCAAACCAAAGUUCAAGAACUGUUUCCUUCAUAAACUAGUUUUCUUUUGGUUAAUUUGUUGUUCUGGACAUUACAUAUGUACAUUCUUCACCAAAUCGAGCAGCAAAGUUGUCACACCAAAUCGAACUUGCUGCUGCACCAUCUUCACCAAGUCGAACUUGCAGCAGCCAGGUACCAUAGUCGCUCAACUUGAUCUCUCUGGUAGCUCAUCCGGCAAGACUGCUCAAUGGUAUGACUUCUUUGCACAAAAUCAGAUCUGGUAGUUUGUCUGAGAGACACAUUUGUUCUGUAUCGUACUGCACCUUGGGCUCCCUUCAUCCCAUCCAUGCUUAGAUGAGAUUUUUCUGUGCAAUCAGACUUGGGAUAGGGUCAAAAAAAUGGUGAUCUUAGUUCUGAAUUGUUGGGCAUGCAACUCCUCGUUGGUUAAUUGCUAAGUGAUAGUCUGAACAACUGAUAAGGGAACCAUUGUGCAUUACUAUUGAAACACAAGGUUGUUGCAUUUCUCAAAAAAUAGUCUAAACCAAGGGAGCCGAUGUGCACCAAUCCUCCCUGCCGCGCGGCGACCACCUCUGUCGUCCCGAGUUCCCAGCUGCAUGCAUUCAGGAGCAAGAAAAAAGAGAGGUUAAUUGUCCGUCCACACUGCCUCUCCUCCCAAGUCCACGCUAGUUUUAUCACAAAAAGCAGAGGAUGUCUAUUUUAUUUCCUGAAACACAAAGUAGGUGUUCUUAGUUCAGUACGUAAGCUAUCUCAUGUUCUUGGAAAACAUAUAAGAUAGUACGAUGUUUGUGCAAAAAAAUUCAGACCGUUUUCUAAUUAUACAGCAGUUUACUAUAUGGUAGAAUUGUAGUUGUUCAGUAAAAAGUUCACUACCCCAACUGGGGGAUUUUCAAUCCGUUUUGUCUUUCUUUUCCAACUGAAAGUUGUAGCAAAUGUGAACUGAAGCUAUUGUGGAGCAAAUUAGGAAUAGUUGCCUACUCUUUUGCCGCUGCUACCUUGCCACCUAGAUUAAUACUACUACUACUUAUCGUGUUGCUAAACCUCGUGUUCUGGACAAUUUGUU